AGUGGGGAAUAUUGCAAGCAAUGGGCGGCAAGCCUGAUGCAGCCAUGCCGCGUGUGUGAAGAAGGCCUUCGGGUUGUAAAGCACUUUCAGCGGGGAGGAAGGCGAUGAGGUUAAUAACCUUGGCGAUUGACGUUACCCGCAGAAGAAGCACCGGCUAACUCCGUGCCAGCAGCCGCGGUAAUACGGAGGGUGCAAGCGUU
rnacentral:rRNA from 1 species